UCCAGCAGAAGAUCCUCAGUUGACACUGACCCAUUUUAAUCUGCAGCGCAGGUCCCAUAGGCUGCUCUGAGCCUCUGCCACAAUCUCACCGAAAGGAUAACUGAAAAAGGAAUUGGCUUUUUGCUGAACUGACUGCUUGGAAAUCUAUUUUCCAGUGGUGUUUUUAUCAGACUAUAGGGCUGGCCUCUCUAAUUCACGGUGCAGCGCACUGACCAUUUCUCCCAUUUGCACAAAUUUACAUCUCAGAAACCAUCCUACUCGGUGCACGUCUAUCCUUGAAUUACAACAUAAAGGAAUAUUUUUCACUGCCUCCUGAACAAAUAGUGUAACAAAAGUGAAAAAUAUUUUCCUUCCCCGCAGGGGUGUGAGCCCUGGGACUCAUAACAAGCUCGACAAGCAGUCAUACUCAUAUCAGGAGGAGAUGUUGCUCACGGGCACGAGUGCUGCUUCUCCUGGGCCUGGAGUGACUCCCAUCAAGAUCACCCUUCUCUCAGUACUCUACAUCCAGACCUUGUUGACUCCCCACUCCCUGGUUGAGACAUAUUUUGAAAUUGUUCCCCAUGAAAGACAGUGCAGAAAAGAAGAAUACAGGAAAUGAAAAUCCAAGUUUAAAGGAAGGAAAUCUCUUCUGGAAGUUGUGUAACUGUUUCUGCAAUACAUGUGGAUCUUGCUGUCAGUCACUUGCUUCUGACAUACCUGAGCUUAGAGCUUUGCUCUGCUCCAGUUAAAGGAUUUGGACAUCUGUGUGACUUGCAUCAAAUCCUAAUGGGCAUUUUAUUUGGGAAAAAAAAUUUAACACAAAGCCAAACCAAAGCAGAAAACCUGUAGUUUCAGAAGGGGGGUUAUGUUUAAAACUGGCAAUAGCAGCAAGCAUGGGUUGUUUGGGGUGGGGGAGGAUUGCUCUAAUGAAUUCUCCAUCGUAGAAAAUGGGUGUUCACUGUGCAGUUUGCUGUUCUUUGUUAAGUAAGUAAGUCCUUUGGUUCAUAAUUAAACACAGUGCUAUGA